GAUGAACGCUGGCGGCGUGCCUAAUACAUGCAAGUCGAGCGAACAGGCGAGGAGCUUGCUCCUCUGACGUUAGCGGCGGACGGGUGAGUAACACGUGGAUAACCUACCUAUAAGACUGGGAUAACUUCGGGAAACCGGAGCUAAUACCGGAUAAUAUAUUGAACCGCAUGGUUCAAUAGUGAAAGACGGUUUUGCUGUCACUUAUAGAUGGAUCCGCGCCGCAUUAGCUAGUUGGUAAGGUAACGGCUUACCAAGGCAACGAUGCGUAGCCGACCUGAGAGGGUGAUCGGCCACACUGGAACUGAGACACGGUCCAGACUCCUACGGGAGGCAGCAGUAGGGAAUCUUCCGCAAUGGGCGAAAGCCUGACGGAGCAACGCCGCGUGAGUGAUGAAGGUCUUCGGAUCGUAAAACUCUGUUAUAGGGAAGAACAAAUGUGUAAGUAACUAUGCACGUCUUGACGGUACCUAAUCAGAAAGCCACGGCUAACUACGUG
rnacentral:rRNA from 1 species